rnacentral:lncRNA from 10 species
CGUUCACAAAAUAUCUGGAACAGUUUGCCAUCAGUAAAUAUCUGCUACUGCAGUUGCAAGGGAAAAACAAGAUUGAAUCUUUGUUCUCAGUUUCUCAUUAUAUAAAAUUUUAGAGAUUAUUUAAAGAAAAGAGAGAGAGCAUCUAAAUGAACAGUUUCAAUAGCAUCUUGUUUAUAUUCAGAAAUACAGCCCUGAACUCAAACUUGAAACUUCAGUGUUAGCCAACCUUCCCUCCUCCCAUCACCACCUGAAGGAAAAUAUCUUUGUGUAGCACAAAAGAACUUAAUUCUAAUUCUUUUUUUUUCCUUUUAAAACAGGGUCUCACUCUGCCAUCACCCAGGCUGGAGUGUGGUGGCACCAUCAUGGCUCACUGCAGCCUUGAACUCCUGAGCUCAAGUCAUCCUCCCACCUCAGCCUUCCGAGUAGCUGGAACUGCAGGUGUGAGCCACCAUGCCUGGCUGAUUUGUCUUUUUAAAUUUUUUAUAGAGACCGAGUCUCAACUAUAUUGUCCAGGCUGGAAAAGAACUUCUUUCCCUCCAAGUGAUAACCUUUUCCAGACAAGUCAGCUUAAAAACUGACCCAAAGGCCCUGAAGUACACAGUUUUCUUGGAGAAAGAAAAAAAUAAGUGAAAAGGACUUGCUGACUUGCUAAUUCAUUUUGGGGCCUGUGGGUAACAUCAGAAUGGCAAAGCACUUGGGGCUUUUUUCUAAUUUGUAUUUUUUUAAUCUUCUGAGAAAUGACUUUUAUAUGCCAAGAUUCAUUCCAUGAUUAGUUUUUAUGACCAAGUUAUGAACGCUUUUGAAUAUGGGGACCUAGAAUAGAAAUGCUAACCUACCUGCAAGGAGAGCUCUGUGAUUGGCAUCCCCAUCAUGCUGUAACUGACACAAAAUAAACUUAGGGUAAUUGCCGCAUAGUGUAACUUUAAUGUGUGAGCAUACUGUAACAUCUGACAAGCUUCUUGAUCUAGAUCAGCAAUGUGUAACCCAUUCAUUGUUGUCACUCUCAACAAGGCCUUAUGGUCAAACAUCAUCACUCUCACUAAAGAGAUAGUUUACUGAAAUAUACUGAGAUUUUGAAACUGGAGUCAAGAGGUAGCACACUGUUUUAUGUUGAUCCAUUUAAUGGUCCUUGACAGCCAAUAAAAAGACACUGGAAGAAUAC